UCCUCCCCUGGGAGUCAAUCAGCUGCUGUAUAUUAACCCAUAUACCGUCCACAGAUCAAACACGAGUGGCUAACCCCCUUCGUUCGGAAGGUGGAUUUCAGCUAAGAUAUGACCGUAGCUGCCCCGCAAGGGGCCGAGAUACUAGUUCCGUAGGUGAACCUGCGGAAGGAUCA
rnacentral:rRNA from 1 species